rnacentral:rRNA from 1 species
UACGUAGGGUGCGAGCGUUGUCCGGAAUUAUUGGGCGUAAAGAGCUCGUAGGCGGUUUGUCGCGUCGACUGUGAAAACCCGAGGCUUAACCUCGGGCCUGCAGUCGAUACGGGCAGACUAGAGUUCGGUAGGGGAGAAUGGAAUUCCCGGUGUAGCGGUGAAAUGCGCAGAUAUCGGGAAGAACACCCGUGGCGAAGGCGGUUCUCUGGGACGGUACUGACGCUGAGACGCGAAAGCGUGGGGAGCGAACAGG